AUUGAACGCUGGCGGCAGGCCUAACACAUGCAAGUCGAACGGUAACAGGAAGCAGCUUGCUGCUUUGCUGACGAGUGGCGGACGGGUGAGUAAUGUCUGGGAAACUGCCCGAUGGAGGGGGAUAACUACUGGAAACGGUAGCUAAUACCGCAUAACGUCGCAAGACCAAAGAGGGGGACCUUAGGGCCUCUUGCCAUCGGAUGUGCCCAGAUGGGAUUAGCUAGUAGGUGGGGUAACGGCUCACCUAGGCGACGAUCCCUAGCUGGUCUGAGAGGAUGACCAGCCACACUGGAACUGAGACACGGUCCAGACUCCUACGGGAGGCAGCAGUGGGGAAUAUUGCACAAUGGGCGCAAGCCUGAUGCAGCCGUGCCGCGUGUAUGAAGAAGGCCUUCGGGUUGUAAAGUACUUUCAGCGGGGAGGAAGGGAGUAAAGUUAAUACCUUUGCUCAUUGACGUUACCCGCAGAAGAAGCACCGGCUAACUCCGUG
rnacentral:rRNA from 1 species